UACAGAGGUCUCAAGCGUUGUUCGGAUUCACUGGGCGUAAAGGGUGCGCAGGUGGUCGGGUAAGUCUGAUGUGAAAUCCCGCAGCUUAACUGCGGAAUGGCAUUGGAUACUAUUUGGCUAGAGGGUUGGAGGGGGGACUGGAAUUCUCGGUGUAGCAGUGAAAUGCGUAGAUAUCGAGAGGAACACCAGUGGCGAAGGCGAGUCCCUGGACAACUCCUGACGCUGAGGCACGAAAGCUAGGGGAGCAAACAGG
rnacentral:rRNA from 1 species